ensembl:lncRNA LINC01849 long intergenic non-protein coding RNA 1849
ACAAAGCAUCUGUUGAGUGUCUACGGCACAACACACACGUUCUGGUGCUGGAGAUCCUGCCCUGGCUGAGCUUCUGGACCUGGUGGGGAGAAAUCCACAAUGAGUACUGAGACGACCGGCAAAAGCCCGGUGAAGGCACCUAGGAGUAGGGCCUGCUUACCCUGGAGGAGUCGGGAGCAGCUUCCACAGCAAGGAGGCUUCUAAGAAAUGAUCUCCAGUGCCCAGGCUCUGAUGCCCAACAGACCUGAAGUUACAUCCCAACCUGAACAGGCGGCUUUUGCUCUCCAGGCCUUCAUUGCCCCACAGUGGGAACAAUAAUAAUAUGCACCUUCUAGGUACCCAAAAGCACAAGAGACAGUGAACGGAAAGUGCUUGGAAGCCCCGUGCCCAGGUGGUGCUGGCCCCAGCUGAACUGCGGGGAUAGAUGUUGAGUGUCCAGGUUCUAGCAUCAUAGAACAGAAUCCGGCCUGUUGGGAAAUCCUGCCUACAAGUAUACCUCCAUUAAUUAGUGUCUUCUGUGAACAUUUUUAUUAAAAAAAGAAGAAAAGCUUCUCAACCCAAGCCCAAGGGCAUGUCCUGAUUUGUUGAAAGUAGUUGUAAGACCAUUUCAUUAUUCACUCUACUUUUUCAUAUGUUGGAAAUGUUUUAUAAGAAUAAAUACAAUAAUAUCAGGCUGUGUGCGGUGGCUCAUGCCUGUAAUCCUAGCACUUUGGCAGGCUGGCCAACAUCAUGAAAGCCUGUCUCUACUAAAAAUACAAAAAAUUAACUGGCAUGGUGGCGCGCACCUGUAAUCCCAGCUACUCGGGAGGCUGAGGCACAAGAAUUGCUUGAGCUGGGGAGGCGCAGGUUUCAGUGAGCUGAGAUUGUGUCACUGCACUCCAUCCAGGCUGGGAGACAGAGUGAGACCUUGUCUCAAAGAAAAAAAAAAAGAAAUACAAAGAUAUCAGCUUAAAACAAAAGAACUCAUUUGAAAUUUGCCAGUCUUUUAAAUUUUGUUUUCUUUUUUUAAUACUAUUUGUUUUUGAGAGUCUCACUAUGUUGCCCAGGCUGUUCUCAAACUCCUAGGCUCAGGUUCCUCCCAUCUCAGCCUGUGGAGUAUCUGGGAUUACAGGCACAUCCCGCUGCACCCAGCUUCCUUUCCUUAUAAGUUCAAUGAAACCGAAUUGUAUGCUUUUGCUUUUUAAAAAGCUGUGCACAAAAAUGUCAUUUUAUAUAUUAAUAAUUAUUUCCCUAAAUCUAUUCUUUUGCGUAUAGGUUUGGAGAACCUCUGGAAUGAUACUCCCAAAAUAUUAUUUUUUAAGAAAUUAUUUUUGGGUGGUGGCCUAUUGGGUAAAUUUUUCCUGAACUUUCUAUUUUGUAUUCUUGUCAUUAUUUGGAUAGUUUUACAGAAACAAAAGUUGUAUUCUGUGAACACAGAGGGAGAAAGAGAAAUAAUAAAAUUAUUUCCCCUUCCACUGAGCUGUAUGCAGCAAGAGUUUGGGGGCAGUGAGGUCCCGGGGUCGGUGGAAAGAGGGGACAGGGAGCCACAGGGCGGGUGCUGAGGUGGACACAGCCUUGGGGAGCACAUUGCCUACUCAGUCCAUGCCCCCAUCACACCCUUUGCCUGCAACGCGCCUCCAGCUCUGGAACUCAUCCUCCACUAACCCGGCACCCACAGGCCAAGCUGUCACGCAAGGAAGCGGCCACGCGAGGGCGUGAUCUACCAGGGAUCCGUGCCUGGGUCUGUGCAUCCUCCCUUCUGCAGCCAGAAGAAACCCCUUUGAAGAAGCGGGUGGAUGACAAGCUUGCAAUACACCGGGGAGGGGAGCAGCAUCCCCAGAGGCUUUUCCAUGCACCCUCUUUCUGAGCAGCUCUGGAUACCCUGGGUCAGCUCCCACACAAAUUGCUCAUAACUCAUUAGUCACCCUUAAAAUUAAUCUCUCCAACAGUGACAUCCUGUACUCAGGCGGUGUCUUAACCCCCUGAAAAUGCCUUCGUGGCAAUGUCCCUGUGGCAUAAGCAUGCCCCAUUUUGCAAGGGAGGGAAUUAAAUUUCAGAGAAGUUAAGCGAUCCAGGGAAUUUCAGUAGCAGAAAUAAGUCUAGAACGGAGAUUACCCAACUUGACUCAAAUGGCAAAACGUUUGUCAUGGGGAAUUUAAUUCUUUAAACCUUUUCGUUGCUUUAUCUCCUUGCUUGGAAUAUUCACCAUCCAUGUGCCCACUAAAUCCUGACUGCUCUGAGACCACGUUCUUCAUGCCAGUCUUAUCUCCCGUGCCUCCUGGGCUUAGGAAUCUGAUGAGCCUGAGUGUGGAUCUGGGUCCUGCCCCCUGACUGUGUGGGGUUACCCGGAUUCCCUGAACUUCGGUCUCCCCUCAUGGAAAAUGGGGAUGGUAUGCCUUCCUACAUGAAGGCGAUCUCAAUAUAGUUACCAGCUGGCGACUAUACAGGCAGUUGUCAGUCAGCCUGUGGGACACAUGGGUGGCUGGAUCAGUCUGGCAGGAGCAGGUGGAGAGAAUUACCAGGUGAUAUGCUGACCCCACGAGGACCAAGGACCGCACUGCUCAAGCCUUCACCUGCCACUUGGCAUUAAAGCCUCUUUACCCUUGUCUCCCCAACCGGACAAUACAUUCCUAGGUGGGAGGGCCCCUGCCUUUCACUGCUGCUGUCUUGGAGCUAGGCAAUGUAAUUUCAUGUAUCAGAUGACGGCUGUCAAGCACUAAGUUUUGUUUGUUCCUUCUGCUGUCUCCUAAGUUCACAAAUAAACAA